UACGUAGGGAGCAAGCGUUGUCCGGAAUCAUUGGGCGUAAAGCGCGCGUAGGUGGCCUCAUAAGUCCGCUGUGAAAGUCAAAAGGCUCAACCUUUGAAAGCCAGUGGAUACUGUGAGGCUAGAGUACGGAAGAGGCGAGUGGAAUUCCUGGUGUAGCGGUGGAAUGCGCAGAUAUCAGGAGGAACACCGGUGGCGAAGGCGGGUCUCUGGGCCGAUACUGACGCUGAGGAGCGAAAGCGUGGGGAGCGAACAGG
rnacentral:rRNA from 1 species